rnacentral:lncRNA from 1 species
AAAAAUCGUUUGGAGUCAAGUUAACACAAACUUGUUAUAGUAUGCUUUCAAAAUAAACCCUACCUCAAUUAGGUCUUUUAAGGGUUGUAACGUGGUCUGGUUCACGGUUCUUGAAACAAAAGGAAAUAAGGCUCAAAAGUUAUUUUUACCCACCCCUAUUAGGUCUUUUAAGGGUUGUAACGUGGUCUGGUUCACGGUUCUUGAAACAAAAGGAAAUAAGGCUCAAAAGU